GUUUUAAAGCUCUCAGGUUGAAUUGAUCUAAACACUAUAACUUCAUACAUCACUCUCGUGCAUCCACCUCAAAAUGCUAAGAUGAUGGGAGUGACGAUUACAUUCGACUAUUGACCUCGGCAUAUUACGGCCACGACUUUCUUUCUGUUGGAUCUUGAAGAGUUGGAUUCAACUGGACAUUAAGUGUCUUUGGUCAUCGGCGUCGAUGAUUCGCUGGUCGCCGCCGCG